rnacentral:lncRNA from 1 species
UUAAUGAUGAACAGUAGUGUGGAAGCAUAAACCAAAUAAACUCUUUCCUUUCCCAAAAAAAAAAAAAAAAAAAAAAAAAAACUGCAAAGCUUCUGUAAGGCAAAGUAUACUAUCAAUAAGACAAAAAGGCCACCAACAGAGUGGGAAAGAUCUUUACAAAUCCUACAUUCGAUAGGGGGCUAAUGUUCAAUAUAUAUAAAGAACUCAAGAAGUUGGACUCCAGAAAACCAAAUAACCCUAUUUUUAAAAAAAUGGGGUACUGAGCUAAUCGAAAAAUUCUCAACUGAGGAAUACCAAAUGGCUGAGAAGCACCUGAAAAAAAAAAUGUUCAACAUCCUUAAUCAUCAGGGAAAUGCAAAUCAAAACAACCCUGUGAUUCCACCUCACACCAGCCAGAAUGGCUAAGAUGAAAAUUUCAGGUGACAGCAGAUGCUGGCCAGGAUGCGAUGAAAGAGGAACACUCCUCCAUUUCUGGUGGGAUUGCAAGCUGGUACAACCACUCUGGAAAUCAGUCUGGCAAUUCCUCAGAAAAUUGGACAUAGUACUACUGGGAGAUCCAGCAAUACCUCUCCUGGGCAUAUAUCCAGAAAAUGUUCCAACUUGUAAUAAGGACACAUGCUCCAAUGUGUUCAUAGCAGCCUUAUUUAUAAUAGGGAGAAGCUGGAAAAAAACCAGAUGUCCCUCAACAGAGGAAUGGAUACAGAAAUACACAAUGGAGUACUACUCAGCUAUUAAAAACAGCAAAUUUAUGAAAUUCUUAGGAAAAUGGAUGUAUCUGGAGGAUAUCAUCCUGAGUGAGGUAACCCAAUCACAAAGAACUCACAUGAUAUGCACUCACUGAUAAGUGGAUAGUAACCCAGAAUCUUAGAAUACCCAAGAUACAGUUUGCAAAACACAUUAAACUCAAGAAGAAGGAAGACCAAAUUGUGAAUACUUCAUUCCUCCUUGGAAUGGGGAACAAAAUACCCAUGGAGGGAGUUACAGAGAGAAAGUUUGGAGCUGAGAUGGAAGGACCAUCUGGAGACUGCCUCACUAUUGCAUAUGCCAGCUGACAGGACCCUAUAAUAGCUGUCUCCUAGGAGGCUAUGCCAGUGCCUGGCAAAUACAGAAGUGGAUGCUCACAGUCAUGUAUUUGAUGGAUCACAGGGCCCCAAAGGAAGAGCUAGAGAAAGUACUCAUGGAGCUGAAGGGGUCUGCAAUCCUAUAGGAGGAACAACAAUAUGAACUAAUCAGUACCCCCAGAGCUCAUGUCUCUAGCUGCAUAUAUAGCAGAAGAUGGCCUAGUCGGCCAUCACUGGGAGGAGAGGCCCUUGGUCUUGAGAAGAUCAUAUGCCUCAGUACAGGGGAAUGCCAGGGUCAGGAAGCAGAAGUGGGUGGGUUGGGGAGCAGGGCGGCCAGGAGAGGUUAUAGGGGACUUUCGGGAUAGCCUUUGAGAUGUAAAUGAAAAGGUAUCU